CCCUGCGGUGGCCCUUCCAGCCUCAGCCACUACCCACCGAGUACCCAUGGUUGACCCUUGUUUAGUCUUUACUACUUAAGAUUGUGCCCUGCAAGAGCUCCUGUCUUACUGUGGAUAACAUCUGCAAGUAUCUACAGACAUAGUUACAGUUAAGCAAAAAAAGCCUUGAGGAGGGGCGGGCCUCUCCUUGUAUUUCCUUCCAUGGCAGGAGCUCUGGCCUUGCUCUGCCCAGAGGCCAGCUAUCCCUGAUGGGCACAAAGAUUCAGGCUGGGCCUCUGGGCGCAAGAGCGGGUCUCAUCACCUGCUACCUCCGCGCCUCCGAAGCUUCACCUCCCACUGUCUCUGGCUGGGACUUCCGUCUGUAUUUCUAGCCCUUGAGAAUUUUCCACUCUUUCCUAUAAGUUUGACUGUAUAUACUUUUUAAUUAAUUAAUUAAAUCAUUUUUUUAAAAUUGAAGUAUAGUUAAU